UGGGGAAUAUUGCACAAUGGGCGCAAGCCUGAUGCAGCCAUGCCGCGUGUAUGAAGAAGGCCUUCGGGUUGUAAAGUACUUUCAGUCGGGAGGAAGGUGGUAAGGUUAAUAACCUUAUCAAUUGACGUUACCGACAGAAGAAGCACCGGCUAACUCCGUGCCAGCAGCCGCGGUAAUACGGAGGGUGCAAGCGUUAAUCGGAAUUACUGGGCGUAAAGCGCACGCAGGCGGUUGAUUGAGUCAGAUGUGAAAUCCCCGGGCUUAACCCGGGAAGUGCAUCUGAUACUGGUGAGCUAGAGGCUUGUAGAGGGGGGUAGAAUUCCAUGUGUAGCGGUGAAAUGCGUAGAGAUGUGGAGGAAUACCGGUGGCGAAGGCGGCCCCCUGGACAAAGACUGACGCUCAGGUGCGAAAGCGUGGGGAGCAAACAGG
rnacentral:rRNA from 1 species